CUUACAGAGUUUAUUGGCAUUCUGUCCACCUCCAUCGAUGAUAUAUAGUUUUCGUAAUCUUUAUGUGGAGGUGGACAUACUGCCAACUAUGCUGUGUUAA